rnacentral:hammerhead_ribozyme from 1 species
AGCCGAAACGGGCGACAGUGUCGCCCGUCAUCGGGAGAGUAGCCGCUCCCGGUCUGAUGAUGGCAGGCUAUA